CCUAACACAUGCAAGUCGUGCGAGAAAGCCCCUUACCGGGGGUGAGGUACAGCGGCGGACGGGUGAGUAACACGUGAGUGAUCUACCCGGCGGCCGGGGGACAACCCAGGGAAACCUGGGCUAAUACCGCAUACAGCGGAGGGAGUAGGUGCCCUUCGUGAAAGCUGGCCUCUCCAUGGAAGCUAGCGUCGCCGGAGGAGCUCGCGGCCUAUCAGCUUGUUGGUCGGGGUAACGGCCUACCAAGGCUAUGACGGGUAGCUGACGUGAGAGCGUGAGCAGCCACACUGGGACUGAGACACGGCCCAGACUCCUACGGGAGGCAGCAGUGGGGAAUAUUGCGCAAUGGGCGAAAGCCUGACGCAGCGACGCCGCGUGGGGGAGGAAGGCCUUAGGGUUGUAAACCCCUGUCAGGUGGGACGAACCCCGGGUCGGUAAAUAAUCGGCUCGACUGACGGUACCACCAGAGGAAGCUCCGGCUAACUCCGUG
rnacentral:rRNA from 1 species